AUUGAACGCUGGCGGUAUGCCUUACACAUGCAAGUCGAACGGUAGAGGGGCAACCCUUGAGAGUGGCGAACGGGUGAGUAAUACAUCGGAACGUGCCCAGUCGUGGGGGAUAACGUAGCGAAAGCUACGCUAAUACCGCAUACGGCCUGAGGGUGACAGCGGGGGAUCGCAAGACCUCGCGCGAUUGGAGCGGCCGAUGGCAGAUUAGGUAGUUGGUGGGGUAAAGGCCUACCAAGCCUGCGAUCUGUAGCUGGUCUGAGAGGACGACCAGCCACACUGGGACUGAGACACGGCCCAGACUCCUACGGGAGGCAGCAGUGGGGAAUUUUGGACAAUGGGCGAAAGCCUGAUCCAGCCAUACCGCGUGCGGGAAGAAGGCCUUCGGGUUGUAAACCGCUUUUGUCAGGGAAGAAAUCUUCUGGGUUAAUACCUCGGGAGGAUGACGGUACCUGAAGAAUAAGCACCGGCUAACUACGUGCCAGCCGCCGCCGUAA
rnacentral:rRNA from 1 species